rnacentral:rRNA from 1 species
GACGAACGCUGGCGGCGUGCUUAACACAUGCAAGUCGAACGGACAGGCCCUGCUUUUGUGGGGUGCUCGAGUGGCGAACGGGUGAGUAACACGUGAGUAACCUGCCCUUGACUUUGGGAUAACUUCAGGAAACUGGGGCUAAUACCGGAUAGGAGCUCCUGCUGCAUGGUGGGGGUUGGAAAGUUUCGGCGGUUGGGGAUGGACUGGCGGCUUAUCAGCUUGUUGGUGGGGUAGUGGCUUACCAAGGCUGUGACGGGUAGCCGGCCUGAGAGGGGGACCGGCCACAAUGGGACUGAGGUACGGCCCAGAAUCCUACGGGAGGCAGCAGUGGGGAAUAUGGCACAAUGGGGGGAAGCCUGAGGCAGCAACGCCGCGUGCGGGAUGACGGCCUUCGGGGUGUAAACCGCUUUCGCCGGUGACGAAGCGUGAGUGACGGUAAUGGGUAAAGAAGCACCGGCUAACUACGUG